UGGUAGUGGCGAACGACCUGGAAUUAGCCCAGCACCGAAUCCUGUAUCUAUGAUACUAGGAGUUGGUGUAAAGGUUGUGUCUUUAAUUGUUAAGUUAACUCCAAAUUCACUUGAUUGUGAUGUUGUCCAGAGAGGGUGUUAGACCCGUUGGAGUGUACAAGGCUUUUAUUGAUGCUUCCUAUGAGUCGGAUUGUUUGAGAAUGCAGUCCAAAUUGGGUGGUAAACUCCAUCUAAGGCUAAAUACUUGUGUGAGUCCGAUAGCAAACAAGUACCGUGAGGGAAAGUUGAAAAGAACUUUGAAGAGAGAGUUAAAUAGUACGUGAAAUCGCUUAGAGGUAAACGAGUAGAGCCGAAGUUGAUAUAUGGGAUUCAGUUGAUUGUAUAGUAUAGCGGAUUAUUUAAUAACCUUUAAUAGGUAUUAUAUUUUUUGCUUCUUUUCUUAUUAUACGAUCAAUGCACUUUCUAUAUAUCUUAACUGCGACCAAUAGAGCUGUUUCUCUGUUGUAAUGUUGAAGGUGACCAGUUUUUCGGAAUCGGUUUUAUAGCUCAUUACACGGUUAAAUGUGGUGUAUUGGUAAUUGCGAUUUACAAUAUUUUUGAUAAGUAUCUAUAUUGAUAAUCUAUUGAUUGACUUUUUAGAUUGUUAUUAGAUUGUUAGUGUAGAUGAUUGGCGAAAUGUAAAUCUAAAGUCUGCAGUGUUUAUGUAGGUUACCUACUUGUCCCGUCUUGAAACACGGACCAAGGAGUUUUAUAUAAUCGCGAGUCAAAGGGCCUUACGAAACCCCACGGCGUAAUUAAUGUAAAGGCUUGCUUCGGUGAGCUGAGAUGUGACAUCUCGUUUGCUUUCAACCAUUCGAGCGCAACACUGUCAAAUCGACCCGUCUGAAGAUGUUCGCAUCUGGGCGGAGUUUGAGCGAUUAUGUAGAGACCCGAAAGAUGGUGAACUAUGCUUGUGCAGGUUGAAGUCAGAGGAAACUCUGAUGGAGGACCGCCGCGGUUCUGACGUGCAAAUCGAUCGUCGGACAUGAGUAUAGGGGCGAAAGACUAAUCGAACCAUCUAGUAGCUGGUUCCCUCCGAAGUUUCCCUCAGGAUAGCUGGCGUUUGUUAUUGUAGUUGCACCUGGUAAAGCGAAUGAUUAGAAGUAUUGGGGACGAAAUGUUCUCAACUUAUUCUCAAACUUUAAAUGGGUACGAAGUGCGUCUCUCUUUAUUUGGAGAUGUGCCAUCGAAUACAAAUGCCUAGUGGGCCAUUUUUGGUAAGCAGAACUGGCGAUGUGGGAUGAACCAAACAUCUGGUUAAGGUGCCUAACAUCACGCUCAUGAGAAACCACAAAAGGUGUUGGUUGAUUAAGACAGCAGGGACGGUGGACAUGGAAGUCGUCAUCCGCUAAGGAGUGUGUAACAACUCACCUGCCGAAUCAACCAGCCCUGAAAAUGGAUGGCGCUGUAGCGUGAGACCUAUAACCGGAUUGUAUUGCAAGUCUGCUCUUGGCGAACUCUAUCACGAGGCGGUACCAUGUAGGAGGGUGCCGUGGUGGCAAUCGUGAGCAGCAGGCGUGAGUCUGAGUGGAGCGGCCAGGCGGGUACAGAUCUUGGUAGUAGUAGCAAUAUCAACGAUCUCCAAGGU
rnacentral:rRNA from 1 species